rnacentral:rRNA from 1 species
ACUCAAAGGAAUAGACGGGGGCCCGCACAAGCGGUGGAGCAUGUGGUUCAAUUCGACGCAACGCGAAGAACCUUACCUGGGUUUGAACUGCAGGUGGCAGGCCUGGAAACAGGUCCUUUCCUCUGGAACUCCUGCAGAGGUGCUGCAUGGCUGUCGUCAGCUCGUGUCGUGAGAUGUUGGGUUAAGUCCCGCAACGAGCGCAACCCUUGUCCUUAGUUGCCAUCGGGUAGAGCCGGGCACUCUAAGGAGACUGCCCCGGAAAACGGGGAGGAAGGUGGGGAUGACGUCAAGUCAUCAUGGCCUUUAUGCCCAGGGCCACACACGUGCUACAAUGGGCGGCACAAAGGGCUGCGAACCCGCGAGGGGGAGCCAAUCCCACAAAACCGCCCUCAGUUCGGAUUGCAGUCUGCAACUCGACUGCAUGAAGUUGGAAUCGCUAGUAAUCGCGGAUCAGCACGCCGCGGUGAAUACGUUCCCGGGCCUUGUACACACCGCCCGU